UACAGCUACAACAGAAAGUACAUGACAUAGAACAUAAAACUAGGCACUGAUGUUUUUUUGAUGAUCAAAAGGAUAUUGAUUCCUUAAAGUGCCACAUAAACACACUUAGUACCACAGGGCAAAGCCUAACUGGGGGAUACAUAGUAAAGGACUAGCAACGAUGUGGCAAACAGAGAAAGGAAAAUAUGUCUUCUUGCUAACAGGUGAAAUAGCUGUUAGCAAACAAAGCGCUAAACGAAAAUCAGCUGAGGCACAAACUGAUGGCCGGACAUUCUACUUCAGGAUUUCUAGUCAAGAAUUCAUGGCACAUCAGUUACAUCCACAGAAUAUUUGGGGAUCAGCAGUGGUUUUGUCCUUGGAACUCUUCCAUUGAUGCCAUUUCUGCCCAAUCUUUCUUAUUGUUCAGUUGUGAACUUUGACCUCAACUGGCUGGCCAUUCCUGAGAAGGUUCACUAAUGAUCCAUGUUUUCUCCAUUUAUGGGAAUCAUCUCAUUGAACUCAUUCCUCUCUGCUCGAGCUCCCACCAUCAUCAGCGCUCCCUCCAUGUUGG